AUACUUAUCUGGCAGGGGAGAUACCAUGUUCACGAAAGUGGUUUUCCAAGGGCCAGGUUUAUCCAUUGCACUCUGGAUGUGCUGAUCCCCGUGAUUUGCCCAUAUGUGGGAAACUUGACUGCGUAAUUUGUGUAGUGAGAGAUUGUGUUCACGCUUUCCUUUG
rnacentral:snRNA from 1 species